AUUGAACGCUGGCGGCAGGCUUAACACAUGCAAGUCGAACGGUAACAGGGUGCUUGCACCGCUGACGAGUGGCGAACGGGUGAGUAAUGCGUCGGAACGUGCCGAGUAGUGGGGGAUAACGCAGCGAAAGUUGUGCUAAUACCGCAUACGUACUGAGGUAGAAAGUGGGGGACCUUCGGGCCUCACGCUAUUCGAGCGGCCGACGUCUGAUUAGCUAGUAGGUGAGGUAAAGGCUCACCUAGGCGACGAUCAGUAGCGGGUCUGAGAGGAUGAUCCGCCACACUGGGACUGAGACACGGCCCAGACUCCUACGGGAGGCAGCAGUGGGGAAUUUUGGACAAUGGGCGAAAGCCUGAUCCAGCCAUGCCGCGUGUCUGAAGAAGGCCUUCGGGUUGUAAAGGACUUUUGUCGGGGAGGAAAUCCCCAGCGCUAAUACCGCUGGGGGAUGACAGUACCUGAAGAAUAAGCACCGGCUAACUACGUGCCAGCCGCCGCGGUAAGAC
rnacentral:rRNA from 1 species